GUGCUUUGGCAGCACAUGUACUAAAAUUGUAAAGAUACAGAGAAGAUUAGCAUGGCCCUUGCACAAGGAAUACAUGCAAAUUAAUGAAGCAUUCCAUAAUAAU
rnacentral:snRNA from 1 species